GCAGUUGGAUGGCAAAUAGAGACAGGAAAAUGGUCACCAUGUUGUACUGUGAGUGCUAUGAUGGAGGAGGUACAGGGAGCUAACUAUUGGGGCACCUGAGAGAAGCACCAAGCUUCAAUUUAAGAGUGGGCAAGGUCAUCCUGAAGAAAGUCAGUUCCAAGAUCUAAAAGUGGUUGAUUGUGUCGGGUCAGCAGAUGUCUGAGGCAGGAAGAGAAGAGUGUUCCAAAGAAGUUAACAACAUAGCAAAAAUAAGAGAUAAAGCCAUGUGCACAAGGUGGUGAGAGAGAGUGGGACAGGAUAAUGAUGAGUGAGGACAAAUCAAGAUCUAGGUCAUCAGUAUCCUUUCCCAGCCUUUCAGGAAGGAGUGUAGGUUUGAUUCUCUUGUAAGCAAGAAUGCAGCAUAAUUUAUAUAAAUAUGUUAGAAAAUUCCCUCCCACUUUCAUAUGGAGAGUUGAACUGGAGAUAGCUAAUUUGGGAAGCAAGAAGAACUUUUUGAGAAAGUUGUACUAUAUUAGUGAAAAUGAUAGUCAUAAACAUGAAGAACUAAAGGUGACCAUGACCUCCUCUCUAAUAUCCAGACAGGUUUUUAUCAGACAUAAUUUUGAAGUUUUGACUGAAUGAUGAAAGUAGAUGAAGUACACAAAAUAAAUUGCACAAAACAAGGCCAGCUCUAUAACCAUUCAGUUUGUGUUGAAAUUGCAAAUUUUUCAUCAAGAAAGAAAACAAAAACUAAGAAACAAGUUUUACCAAGUAGGAAAUCCUAUCUAACAGUAUCUAGUCCUCCACCAAUAUCCCACAUUUGCAUGUUCUUCCAACCUCAAAAUCCAG
rnacentral:lncRNA from 1 species